UGGGGAAUUUUGGACAAUGGGCGAAAGCCUGAUCCAGCAAUGCCGCGUGUGUGAAGAAGGCCUUCGGGUUGUAAAGCACUUUUGUCCGGAAAGAAAUCCUUGGCUCUAAUACAGUCGGGGGAUGACGGUACCGGAAGAAUAAGCACCGGCUAACUACGUGCCAGCAGCCGCGGUAAUACGUAGGGUGCAAGCGUUAAUCGGAAUUACUGGGCGUAAAGCGUGCGCAGGCGGUUUGCUAAGACCGAUGUGAAAUCCCCGGGCUCAACCUGGGAACUGCAUUGGUGACUGGCAGGCUAGAGUAUGGCAGAGGGGGGUAGAAUUCCACGUGUAGCAGUGAAGUGCGUAGAGAUGUGGAGGAAUACCGAUGGCGAAGGCAGCCCCCUGGGCCAAUACUGACGCUCAUGCACGAAAGCGUGGGGAGCAAACAGGAUUAGAUACCCUGGUAGUCCACGCCCUAAAACGAUGUCAACUAGUUGUUGGGGAUUCAUUUCCUUAGUAACGUAGCUAACGCGUGAAGUUGACCGCCUGGGGAGUACGGCCGCAAGGUUGAAACUCAAAUGAAUUGACGGGGUCAUA
rnacentral:rRNA from 1 species